rnacentral:rRNA from 1 species
UACGGAGGGUGCAAGCGUUAAUCGGAAUAACUGGGCGUAAAGCGCACGCAGGCGGUCUGUUAGGUGGGAUGUGAAAUCCCCGGGCUCAACCUGGGAAUAGCAUUUCAGACUGGCAGGCUAGAGUCUUGUAGGGGGGGGUAGAAUUCCACGUGUAGCGGUGAAAUGCGUAGAGAUGUGGAGGAAUACCGAUGGCGAAGGCGGCCCCCUGGACAUAGACUGACGCUCAGGUGCGAAAGCGUGGGGAGCAAACAGG